UGGGGAAUUUUGGACAAUGGGCGCAAGCCUGAUCCAGCCAUGCCGCGUGCGGGAAGAAGGCCUUCGGGUUGUAAACCGCUUUUGUCAGGGAAGAAAUCCUCCGAGAUAACACCGCGGGGGGAUGACGGUACCUGGAGAAUAAGCACCGGCUAACUACGUGCCAGCAGCCGCGGUAAUACGUAGGGUGCAAGCGUUAAUCGGAAUUACUGGGCGUAAAGCGUGCGCAGGCGGUUGUGCAAGACAGAUGUGAAAUCCCCGGGCUUAACCUGGGAACCGCAUUUGUGACUGCACGGCUAGAGUGCGGCAGAGGGGGAUGGAAUUCCGCGUGUAGCAGUGAAAUGCGUAGAUAUGCGGAGGAACACCGAUGGCGAAGGCAAUCCCCUGGGCCUGCACUGACGCUCAUGCACGAAAGCGUGGGGAGCAAACA
rnacentral:rRNA from 1 species